rnacentral:rRNA from 1 species
UUUAUGGAGAGUUUGAUCCUGGCUCAGGACGAACGCUGGCGGCGUGCCUAAUACAUGCAAGUCGAGCGGAUCUUCUUGAGUAGCUUGCUACUCAAGAAGGUUAGCGGCGGACGGGUGAGUAACACGUAGGCAACCUGCCCAUAAGACCGGGAUAACAUUCGGACACGAAUGCUAAGACC